CUAAAAACACAACAAAAUCCAACAGCUUUGAAGGAAUUUGAUUCACAGUUUUGAAAAAAAUUUCUUACUCUGAAACAAAAAUGGCUUCUGGCUGCAAAUGUGGUGACAAUUGCUCCUGUGGAGACAGCUGCAACUGCCAAUCUGGGACCAUCACAGAGGCCUCCCUGAAGAUGAGCGGGUGCAGCUGUGGGAGUAGCUGCUCCUGCGACCCAUGCAACUGCAAAUGAGCAAKGGGAGGGGUCGGAAAAAGCCCAAACAACAAAGCUUCUGGAUAGAAUAAAUUGAUGAAUCAAUCAACCUCUGUUGUUUUUUUUUUUCUCUUUUUUUCUUUCUUAAGAUUGCCAUUGAAACUGUAAGGCCAUUUUGAAUGGCUUUUUCAUGUGGCUUCUUGAAAUAUAGUGUGAACUAUGUACACUGCUUUGUUGUACUGGGUAGGGUUUGGUUUCAUCAAAGCUUCAAGUGUGUUUGAAUUUGUGGUUAAUGAAUGUUUGUUUUGUGUA